GUUAUUUAACUCACCAAACUCACCGUUUCAUUAGAUAGGAAAACAAGAAAGUAACACAUAUUUAAACUAUUCACUUGGGCUGUUAAAUGGGCUUCGAAAAUUGUUGAUCGUUGUUUUCAGUCCAUUUUAACAGACCCAGCCGGCCAGCCGUCUCCAUAAAACGCUCCAACUAAACCCUAAACGACGAUACUGUUCAUCUUCCUGCUGCAGGAAACUGGCAACGUUUUGCGGUUUAUUCAUGCGAAGGGUCGUCUUCAACACAAUUAUUAACUAUUGUCGGUCUAUGAUUCAAUGCUUCCUCAUUUAUUGACUCCGUCAGAAACUUCAAGUAUAAAAAGGUAUGCUUGAAAUGCAUCAGUCUUUCACCUCAUUUAUAAACUCUCUAAGAAACCUAUCUUUGAUAAUGGCUAAUUCUUUCGCUAGAAACGCUUUCUUCGUAGACUCCGGCUAAAACACUUACAACGAAGAUGAUGAUUAUCACUUUCUCCGUCGAAUUGUUUCCUCCGAACAUCAAAAUCAAUGGAGGCAACAUCUACGUGUGAAGGAGAAACAAUCUCGGCGAAGGCAGAUCAAACGCUCGCCAGCGGAGAAGGCGCUAAUCAGGCCGCGUUUGGAGCGGAGUUGCUUUACUCACCUCUAUCUGCUUCACGAGUUGCCACCGUGAAUCUUUAGGGUUCGUUGUUAGCUGGAAGCUCUGAUUAGUUUCACCAACAAUGGAGGUUCUGAAAGAGCAAACCCCCAUGAAUUUGUACGGUUUGGCAUGAUUGGAGACGUUUGCGGCGAAAGGAUAUGAAUGCACAAGAGAAUGAAGAGAAAUGAUGCAGAUCAUGGUGAGUAAUAUACAUCUUUAACCUUUGGCAAUGAUAUACAAAAUAUUGCUCUGUAAUCUUUACAGACCAUUCAAUCAAAAUUAUAAUAACCUGUAUGGUCUUAGUUGUGCUAUUGUUUGUUGUAGAUGCAAUUAUGUACCAUUAAUUAGUCUAGAGUCUAUUUGAAAACCAAAUUCUCUAUUUAAAAUCUCGAAAAGGGUCAAAGUUUGUAGAGGAAGAAGAGAAGCACAAUAUAACGACUGCAUGUAUUUUGAUAUAUAUGAGAAGAAAGAUGCAAUAUAGUUGUCAAACAAUAUAGAUACUACUUAGGUUUUCUUUCUCGCCUAGGAAUUUGAGUUCAUGUUUCUUUAUAAAGAUCUAUAUUAUUUGUUUUUUUUUCUACGUUUCAGAUACUACAUUUCCAUCCACUUAUAUUGUAGAAUAAAAGAAUCCUUAAAAGUUGAUGCUCCAGAUGAUCAAAAGUAUUAUAACAAUCUUCUGAGGGGCUGUUUGUGGAGAAAAUUUUUUAAUUGGAUUUUGCAUUGCAGAUAAUUGUAUGUGAAGUAUUUUUGGACUAAUGAUUAGUUAAUUAUUGUAGCUUGAUGAAUGUGUUACCGUAUUUCUUGCAGUUGAUGUUUUAGUCCAUCUGAUUCAGCAAACUAAACAAGCACAUUGAUCCCAAUAAUGCUCUUUAGCUUCCCUUAGAAACCUUAAUGGUUGAUUUUUAAAGAGUCCACAUGAAUUUCUCUUUCAGAUGCAUAAGGUAAAACCACAACAAUUUUAUGUUGAUUUUUUAGUUUACUCACUGCAACAUUCAACAUUCAACAUUCAACCAUCCAUCUCAGUCAGGCUUGCACUGCUUAGUGCAGUGGGUGUUUGCUACAAGUCAAGAAAGUUGCCAUUGCUUAUAUAACUUAGCCAAAAGAUUAUUGGGAACUAACUCAAAUCUAGCUAGCCAUGCCAAGCUGACCACACACGUUGUGGAAGCUACUAAACAUAACAUGAUGGAUGAACCGUUAGUGUAUAAACAAAUUAAUGCCAUCUCAACAUAUAUAUAUUUAUUUAUUUAUUACUAAGGUAUGCAGGUUUACGUGGUUCUCUGCAGCAUAACAACUUUCUGUGAUAUUUGCAGGUUUUCUUUGCUCUCCAUCUUAACUCUUAAGACCCAUGAUCAAUUCAGAUUUGUAAGUCUGAGGGUUUUAUGUGAUCAAUGCGGCAGUGGAUGAAGUUAAAUAAGUAUAGGAAAGUUGUUUUGUUUAUAUACAUAAUUUACAAUAUGUAAAUUGUGAAUGAUGUAGCUGUGUAGAAAUAUUAACUGUAGUAUAUAUUUUUAAAACAAAAGAUUGAAAUGGAAAUGUAAAGUAUUAAAAUCUGCAUGUUAAGUAUUUAAAGAAGUAAUUGCAGAAAUUAAAUGUUAUAAAGUAUACAGAGGUAACGAUAUAGAAAGUUAAAAAGAGAACUUUUUUUUGUAAAAGGGGAUAGAAAACAUACAAUUAAAAUAUUUUUAGGAUAGCUGUCCAGGAUUCUCUUUAAACCAAUUAAAUAUUUAACCAGUGUGUUUUUCUUUGCUUUUUAUUUCAAUUGUAACACAGAGAAUUUAAAAUAUCCCAAAACCGUUCAAUUUAAAUCAAGAACUCUAAAGUGUAUGAGAUUAAAUAAGAAAAUAUUUACUUAAUCUAUACAAGAAUUAAUAUUA